rnacentral:rRNA from 1 species
CUGGGCUUGAACUACCGACAGUAGUUUCCUGGAAACAGGAGGCGACUCGUCAAGUCGAGCAUCGGCAGAGGUGCUGCAUGGUUGUCGUCAGCUCGUGUCGUGAGAUGUUGGGUUAAGUCCCGCAACGAGCGCAACCCCUAUCCCAUGUUGCAAAUCCCGCAAGGGACGCACUCUUGGGAGACUGCCUCGGAGAACGGGGAGGAAGGUGGGGAUGACGUCAAAUCAUCAUGGCCUUUAUGUCCAGGGCUACACACGUGCUACAAUGGUCGGUACAGCGGGAAGCAAUGCCGCAAGGUGGAGCCAAUCCCCUAAAGCCGACCCCAGUUCAGAUUGUGGGCUGCAACUCGCCCACAUGAAGUCGGAAUCGCUAGUAAUCGCAGAUCAGCAGGCUGCGGUGAAUACGUUCCC